AUUGUUUUUGAGCACCUAUCCAGGUGCUAGGCGCUGUGCUAAGAACUGUGGAAGGAAGCACUAACUCAGUUAAUCUCCUCAACAACACUAUGAUACCAGUGGAGAGGAGCAACUCACAGAACAGACCGUAUCUAUGAAUCCUGAGGGACUCUUCCCCCACCCCAGGGAUUCAUAUGAGGAAGAAGUCAGAUACAGGCCACACGACAUCAAACAACAUUCAGCACAUGUCAUCCACCAACACUGAGAGGUUACUUGCUACAGUUGGCAUGGAGGCCCUGAACAGAUACGGCAGAUGGUAACAGCAGGGUAUGCACCUAGUUCCUCACAGUACUGCUGGUAUUCACGAGGCAUAGACCUUUAAGGA